CACCCUAAAGCUAGCCCAAUAUCUCAACACAAUUUAAAAACAUCAAUAACCCCUAAAAACCUAUAAAAAUAUUAAAUAAACCAUUCUCCCCCUUUAGUAUAGGCGAUAGAAAAAGACAUAAGAGCGAUAGAAAAAGUACCGCAAGGGAAUGCUGAAAAAGAAAUGAAAGAACCCAGAGAAGUAUAAAAAAGCAGAGAUUAAAACUCGUACCUUUUGCAUUAUGAUUUAGCCAGCAAUCCCAAGCAAAGAGCCCUUCAGUUUGAGCCCCGAAACUAAGCGAGCUACUCCAAGACAGCCUAUAAAUUAGGGCGAACCCGUCUCUGUGGCAAAAGAGUGGGACGAGCUUUGAGUAGAGGUGAUAAACCUACCGAGCCUAGUAAUAGCUGGUUGCCUGGGACUUGGAUAAGAGUUCAGCCUCCCAGCUCUUUCCCCCGCACUUUAAUUUAUACUGUCGACCAGAAAGAAACCGGGAGAGUUAAUCAAAGGGGGUACAGCUCCUUUGAUAAAAGACACAACUUUUUCAAGAGGAUAAAGAUUAUAAUACAAGACUAUAUACUUAGGUGGGCCUAAAAGCAGCCAUCCUGAUAGAAAGCGUUACAGCUCAAGUAUAAUUCCCAUUUUAUCCCAAUAAAACAAUCUUAUUCCCUUAAAUAUACCAGGCCCUUCCAUGCAAGCAUGGAAAAGAUUAUGCUAAUAUGAGUAAUAAGAGGGGACAGCCCCUCUCCCCGCACAGGUGUAAAUCGGAACGGACAAUCCGCCGAGCUUUAACGGCCCCAACCAAAGAGGGCAAUGAACAAAAACUAAAUAACAGGGAAACCCCCCAAAAGUUAACCGUUAACCCCACACUGGUGUGCUCCAAGGGAAAGACUAAAAGAAAGAGAAGGAACUCGGCAAACACAUGAAGCCUCGCCUGUUUACCAAAAACAUCGCCUCUUGCAAUUAACGAAUAAGAGGUCCCGCCUGCCCUGUGACUUAGUUUAACGGCCGCGGUAUUUUGACCGUGCGAAGGUAGCGUAAUCACUUGUCUCUUAAAUGGGGACCUGUAUGAACGGCAUAACGAGGGCUUAACUGUCUCCUCUAUCUAGUCAGUGAAAUUGAUCUCCCCGUGCAGAAGCGGGGGUAAAAACAUAAGACGAGAAGACCCUAUGGAGCUUUAGACACCAGAACAGACUAUGUCAAGCAAUCUUUAACACAAGCAAAAACUAAAUAUACUACUAUUCCAACGUCUUCGGUUGGGGCGACCAUGGGGCAAUAAAAAGCCCCCACGUGGAACGGAAGCACGCCUUCUACAACUAAGAGCCCCAGCUCUAAUUAACAGAAUUUCUGACCAUAAAGAUCCGGCGAAGCCGAUCAACGGACCAAGUUACCCUAGGGAUAACAGCGCAAUCCCCUCCUAGAGACCCUAUCGACGGGGGGGUUUACGACCUCGAUGUUGGAUCAGGACAUCCUAAUGGUGCAACCGCUAUUAAGGGUUCGUUUGUUCAACGAUUAAAGUCCUACGUGAUCUGAGUUCAGACCGGAGUAAUCCAGGUCGGUUUCUAUCUAUGACACAUUCUUUUCUAGUACGCAAGGACCGAGAAGAAGGGGCCCAUGUUAAAGACACGCCCCUCCCUUACCUAAUGAAAACAACUAAAAUAGACAAAAGGAGCACUCCUCUUUCGCCUAAAAUAACGGCAC
rnacentral:rRNA from 1 species